GUUUACAGCCAUGCCACCCUGAAUGCACCCAAUCUUGUCUGAUCUCAGAAGCUAAGCAGGGUCGGGCCUGAUUAGUAUUUGGAUGGGAGACCGCUUGGGAAUACUGAGUGCUGUAGGCU
ensembl:rRNA 5S_rRNA 5S ribosomal RNA